rnacentral:lncRNA from 8 species
AAACACCUCAUCCACAUAUGACAAUCUAAAAUGAUACAGCUCACAUUAUACACUGGUAAAAUACAAUUUCUUCAUAGUAUUUAGUUACAUCUCUUUUCUAGAGGAUCCCCAUGUCAUGGAAAACAACAUGGAACAGAGCCCACCUGCUGUGGGACUGUGAGCAAUUUGGAGCAAAACUUGCAUCCGUCCACACCUCUGAAGAGUGUAAUUUUGUGCAAGAGGUGAUCAGACAGAGGACUUUACCCCUGCCUGGAUUGGAGGAUCUGAUGCUGUUGAGUGACGGCUCCAAAUUUGACUACAGGAACUGGCUCGCAGGAGAAACCAAUAAUGUUGGUGGCAGUGAGCCAUGCAUGAUGACGAACUGAAGAGGUACAGUAAUCAUACUAUGUGAAACCCUUAUCACUUAUCACCCUAUCCUUAAAUGACAUU